CAAUCUACCUUUCACAAAGGGAUAGCCCAGAGAAAUUUGGAUUAAUACCUUAUAGUAAUACGACUUGGCAUCAAGAUGUAUUUAAAGAUUUAUCGGUGAAAGAUGAGCAUGCGUCCCAUUAGCUUGUUGGUAAGGUAACGGCUUACCAAGGCAACGAUGGGUAGGGGUCCUGAGAGGGAGAUCCCCCACACUGGUACUGAGACACGGACCAGACUCCUACGGGAGGCAGCAGUGAGGAAUAUUGGACAAUGGGCGCAAGCCUGAUCCAGCCAUGCCGCGUGCAGGAUGACGGUCCUAUGGAUUGUAAACUGCUUUUGUACAGGAAGAAACCCUUUCACGUGUGGAAGAUUGACGGUACUGUAAGAAUAAGGAUCGGCUAACUCCGUGCCAGCAGCCGCGGUAAUACGGAGGAUCCAAGCGUUAUCCGGAAUCAUUGGGUUUAAAGGGUCCGUAGGCGGUCAAGUAAGUCAGUGGUGAAAGCCCAUCGCUCAACGGUGGAACGGCCAUUGAUACUGCUUGACUUGAAUUAUUAGGAAGUAACUAGAAUAUGUAGUGUAGCGGUGAAAUGCUUAGAGAUUACAUGGAAUACCAAUUGCGAAGGCAGGUUACUACUAAUGGAUUGACGCUGAUGGACGAAAGCGUGGGUAGCGAACAGGAUUAGAUACCCUGGUAGUCCACGCCGUAAACGAUGGAUACUAGCUGUUGGGAGCAAUCUCAGUGGCUAAGCGAAAGUGAUAAGUAUCCCACCUGGGGAGUACGUUCGCAAGAAUGAAACUCAAAGGAAUUGACGGGGGCCCGCA
rnacentral:rRNA from 1 species